rfam:Gossypium arboreum cultivar AKA8401 contig_5578_1, whole genome shotgun sequence.
AUGUCAUGAUAAGGACAUUUUCGUAACAACUCCUUGAAUCCUCUCAUGCAUCAUAUAUGGAUUCUUUGUCAAACUGCUAAAAUGUAAUGUUUUCAUUUAUGAGCUU